UACAGAGGUGCCAAGCGUUAGGCGGAAUCACUGGGCUUAAAGCGCGUGUAGGUGGACGGGUAAGUAUCUUGUGAAAUCCCACGGCUCAACCGUGGAACUGCUGGAUAUACUGCUUGUCUUGAGGCACUUAGGGGCAGCUGGAACAAAUGGUGGAGCGGUGAAAUGCGUAGAUAUCGGAAAGAACACCAGUGGCGAAGGCGACUUCCUGGUCUAAUAUUGACGCUGAGGUGCGAAAGUGUGGGGAGCGAACAGG
rnacentral:rRNA from 1 species